rnacentral:rRNA from 1 species
GACGAACGCUGGCGGCGUGCUUAACACAUGCAAGUCGAACGGAAAGGCCCUGCUUGCAGGGUACUCGAGUGGCGAACGGGUGAGUAACACGUGGGUGAUCUGCCCUGCACUUCGGGAUAAGCCUGGGAAACUGGGUCUAAUACCGGAUAGGAGCCAUUUUUAGUGUGAUGGUUGGAAAGUUUUUUCGGUGUAGGAUGAGCUCGCGGCCUAUCAGCUUGUUGGUGGGGUAAUGGCCUACCAAGGCGGCGACGGGUAGCCGGCCUGAGAGGGUGGACGGCCACAUUGGGACUGAGAUACGGCCCAGACUCCUACGGGAGGCAGAAGGGGGGAAUAUUGCACAAGGGGCGCAAGCCUGAUGCAGCGCCGCCGCGGGGGGGAUGACGGCCUUCGGGUUGUAAACCCCUUUCGCUAGGGACGAAGCUUUUUGGGACGGUACCUAGAUAAGAAGCCCCGGCUAAAUACGG